GAUGAACGCUGGCGGCGUGCCUAAUACAUGCAAGUCGAGCGAACGGACGAGAAGCUUGCUUCUCUGAUGUUAGCGGCGGACGGGUGAGUAACACGUGGAUAACCUACCUAUCAGACUGGGAUAACUUCGGGAAACCGGAGCUAAUACCGGAUGAUAUUUUGAACCGCAUGGUUCAAAAGUGAAAGUCGGUCUUGCUGUCACUUAUCGAUGGAUCCGCGCUGCAUUAGCUAGUUGGUAAGGUAACGGCUUACCAAGGCAACGAUGCAUAGCCGAACUGAGAGGGUGAUCGGCCACACUGGAACUGAGACACGGUCCAGACUCCUACGGGAGGCAGCAGUAGGGAAUCCUCCGCAAUGGGCGAAAGCCUGACGGAGCAACGCCGCGUGAGUGAUGAAGGUCUUCGGAGCGUAAAACUCUGUUAUUAGGGAAGAACAUAUGUGUAAGUAACUGUGCACAUCUUGACGGUACCUAAUCAGAAAGCCACGGCUAACUACGUG
rnacentral:rRNA from 1 species